rnacentral:tRNA from 1 species
UCCGCGAUAGCUCAGUCGGUAGAGCGGGUGGCUGUUAACCACUAGGUCGUAGGUUCGAGUCCUACUCGCGGAGCCA